rnacentral:tRNA from 1 species
GGCCCGUUAGCUCAGUUGGUUAGAGCGCUACCCUGUCACGGUAGAGGUCGACGGUUCGAGUCCGUUACGGGUCGCCA